rnacentral:rRNA from 1 species
CCUACGGUAGGCUGCAGUGAGGAAUAUUGGUCAAUGGACGAGAGUCUGAACCAGCCAAGUAGCGUGAAGGAUGACUGCCCUAUGGGUUGUAAACUUCUUUUAUAUGGGAGUAAAAUGUUCCACGUGUGGGAUUUUGUAUGUACCAUAUGAAUAAGGCUUGGCUAACUCCGUGCCAGCCGCCGCGGUAAUACGGAGGGUCAGAGUGUUAUCCGAAUUUAUUGGGUUUCAAGGGAGCGUAGAGGGGUUGUUAAGUCAGUUGUGAAAGUUUGCGGCUCAACCGUAAAAUUGCAAUUGAUACUGGCAGUCUUGAGUACAGUUGAGGUAAGCGGAAUUCGUGGUGUAGCGGUGAAAUGCUGAGAUAGCACGAAGAACCCCGAUUGCGAAGGCAGCUUACUAAACUGUGACUGACAUGGAUGCUCGAAAGUGUGGGUAUCAAACAGGAUUAGAUACCCCAGUAGUC